GACAGAGGUGCCGAGCGUUAGGCGGAAUCACUGGGCUUAAAGCGUGUGUAGGCGGCCGAUCAAGUACCUUGUGAAAUCCCACGGCUCAACCGUGGAACUGCUGGGUAUACUGGUUGUCUUGAGCCAGCUAGGGGCGAGCGGAACAGACGGUGUAGCGGUGAAAUGCGCAGAUAUCAGGAGGAACACCGGUGGCGAAGGCGGGUCUCUGGGCCGAUACUGACGCUGAGGAGCGAAAGCGUGGGGAGCGAACAGG
rnacentral:rRNA from 1 species